AUGGGAACGCGAAGAACCUUACCUACUCUUGACAUCCAGAGAACUUAGCAGAGAUGCUUUGGUGCCUUCGGGAACUCUGAGACAGGUGCUGCAUGGCUGUCGUCAGCUCGUGUUGUGAAAUGUUGGGUUAAGUCCCGCAACGAGCGCAACCCUUAUCCUUUGUUGCCAGCGGUUAGGCCGGGAACUCAAAGGAGACUGCCAGUGAUAAACUGGAGGAAGGUGGGGAUGACGUCAAGUCAUCAUGGCCCUUACGAGUAGGGCUACACACGUGCUACAAUGGCGCAUACAAAGAGAAGCGACCUCGCGAGAGCAAGCGGACCUCAUAAAGUGCGUCGUAGUCCGGAUUGGAGUCUGCAACUCGACUCAUGAAGUCGGAAUCGCUAGUAAUCGUAGAUCAGAAUGCUACGGUGAAUACGUUCCCGGGUC
rnacentral:rRNA from 1 species